UGUUUGUGCAUGCGUGUGUGUGUGUGUGUGUGUGUAUCUAUAUAUAUAUAUAUAUAUAUAUAUAUAGAUACACACACACACACACACACAUGCACAAACACA